rnacentral:rRNA from 1 species
AACGCAGCGAAGGGCGAUAAGUAAUGUGAAUUGCAGAAUUCAGUGAAUCAUCGAAUCUUGAACGCACAUUGCGCCCGCCAGUAUUCUGGCGGGCAUGCCUGUCCGAGCGUCAUUCAACCCUCGAACCCCUCCGGGGGUCCGGCGUUGGGGAUCGGCCCUUACCGGCCGGCCCCGAAAUACAGUGGCGGUCUCGCCGCAGCCUCUCAUGCGCAGUAGUUUGCACAACUCGCACCGGGAGCGCGGCGCGUCCACGUCCGUAAAACACCCAACUUCUGAAAUGUUGACCUCGGAUCAGGUAGGAAUACCCGCUGAACUUAA